AUUUUAAUAGCUUAUAUAGAGCAUGAUAUUGAAGCUAUCAAGGAGAUUUUGUCUUAAGAUA
rnacentral:tRNA from 1 species